rnacentral:rRNA from 1 species
UACGAAGGGGGCUAGCGUUGCUCGGAAUCACUGGGCGUAAAGGGUGCGUAGGCGGGUCUUUAAGUCAGGGGUGAAAUCCUGGAGCUCAACUCCAGAACUGCCUUUGAUACUGAAGAUCUUGAGUUCGGGAGAGGUGAGUGGAACUGCGAGUGUAGAGGUGAAACUCGUAGAUAUUCGCAAGAACACCAGUGGCGAAGGCGGCUCACUGGCCCGGUACUGACGCUGAGGUGCGAAAGCGUGGGGAGCAAACAGG